rnacentral:rRNA from 1 species
UAGGGAAUCUUCGGCAAUGGGGGCAACCCUGCCCGAGCAACGCCGCGUGAGUGAAGAAGGUUUUCGGAUCGUAAAGCUCUGUUUUAAGAGAAGAACGUGUGUGAGAUUGGAAAGUUCACACAGUGACGGUAACUUACCAGAAAGGGACGGCUAACUACGUGCCAGCAGCCGCGGUAAUACGUAGGUCCCGAGCGUUGUCGGGAUUUUUUGGGCGUAAAGCGAGCGCAGGCGGUUUAAUAAGUCUGAAGUUAAAGGCAGUGGCUUAACCAUUGUUCGUUUUGGAAACUGUUAAACUUGAGUGCAGAAGGGGAGAGUGGAAUUCCAUGUGUAGCGGUGAAAUGCGUAGAUAUAUGGAGGAACACCGGUGGCGAAAGCGGCUCUCUGGUCUGUAACUGACGCUGAGGCUCGAAAGCGUGGGGAGCAAACAGG